rnacentral:rRNA from 1 species
GAGUUUGAUCAUGGCUCAGAACGUACGCUGGCGGCACGCCUAACACAUGCAAGUCGAACGCAGUAGCAAUACUGAGUGGCAAACGGGUGAGUAUAAUGUGGGAAUCUGCCUUUUGGUUUGGAAUAACACGGGGAAACUUGUGCUAAUACCGAAUAAGCCCUCACGGGGAAAGUUUUAACGCCGAAAGAUGAGCCCGCACUUGAUUAGCUAGUUGGUAAGGUAAAAGCUUACCAAGGCAAUGAUCAAUAGCUGUUCUUAGAGGAAGACCAGCCACAUUGGGACUGAGACACGGCCCAGACUCCUACGGGAGGCAGCAGUGGGGAAUCUUGCACAAUGGGGGAAACCCUGAUGCAGCGAUGCCGCGUGAGUGAAGAAGGCCUUUGGGUUGUAAAACUCCUUCGUCGGGGAAGAAAAUGACUGUACCCGAAUAAGAAGGUCCGGCUAACUUCGUGCCAGCAGCCGCGGUAAUACGAAGGGACCUAGCGUAGUUCGGAAUUACUGGGCUUAAAGAGCUCGUAGGUGGUUAAAAAAGUUGAUGGUGAAAUCCCAAGGCUUAACCUUGGAACUGCCAUCAAAACUUUUUAGCUAGAGUGUGAUAGAGGUAAGUGGAAUUUCUAGUGUAGAGGUGAAAUUCGUAGAUAUUAGAAAGAACACCAAAUGCGAAGGCAACUUACUGGGUCACUACUGACACUGAGGAGCGAAAGCAUGGGUAGCGAAGAGGAUUAGAUACCCUCGUAGUCCAUGCCGUAAACGAUGUGUGCUAGACGUUGGAAAUAUAUUUUUCAGUGUCGCAGCGAAAGCAUUAAGCACACCGCCUGGGGAGUACGACCGCAAGGUUAAAACUCAAAUGAAUUGACGGGGACCCGCACAAGCAGUGGAGCAUG